rnacentral:rRNA from 1 species
ACUCCUACGGGAGGCAGCAGUGAGGAAUAUUGGUCAAUGGGCGGAAGCCUGAACCAGCCAAGUCGCGUGAAGGAAGACGGAUCUAUGGUUUGUAAACUUCUUUAGUGCGGGAACAAAGCGGUGUCGUGACGCCGGAUGAGUGUACCGCAAGAAUAAGCACGGCUAACUCCGUGCCAGCAGCCGCGGUAAU